ensembl:lncRNA
CACGAACAGAUUUCCGGCAGUGUCGUCGACUUGGUUGCACAGAUACUAUUUGAGCUUAACUGAGCUUGGAGGAUGACAUCACUGUAUCGAUGAACUGUCUUUAUUUUUUGCGUUAUUGACACACAUUAUCUGUAUUGUAAACAGCGCUAUAUAAAUAUAGGUGACUUGACCUGAGCAUGUUUUUUUUUUAAAGCCUUGAUAUCAUUAAUAUUAGGUGUCUGGACCAGGAUUCUUCAGUCAAGCAACAAUAACUCUGAGCACCUCAUAACUUGCCCGCAUUAAGAUCAAAGCAGCUUUCCACCAUUAUAGAUGCAAAUUGAUUAAAUUAUGCUGGCUAGCUUUCAAAUUCCAUGAAGGUUAGAAGGAUCAUUUUUAGAAAGCAAAGGGGAAAAAGAGAGAAAGACACAUUCUCUUACUUCUCACAUGAGUAGUCCUCUUGCUCCUCAGAGAUAAAGCGCUCUUCAUAUAAACAGUUUUCCUCUCUUUACUCCUUAAACCACUUUUAACAUCAUAUUCUAACUCGCUCAUAGGACUCUCUCUGGCCAGUAUGAGAAGGAUAUGCCUUACACUUCAAGAAUUCCUCACAGUCUGGUUAAUGAGCCCUCGUGCUCUGUGGUACAUCCUAAAUGUGGCAGAACAUAUUCGCUGUUUUAGAAUUUUACAGUUUUAUUGAGUGCUUUACUUUAUAUAAACCUGCAGAAUUUCUACUUAAUACCAGCAUGAGGGUUUGAAAAAACAUGAGAGAGUAAAUAUUUGCAUUUUUGAGUUACGUAUACUUAUAUACUGCUCUGGAAAAAAAAAAAAAAACAUAAAAAACAAACAUAAAAAUAUUAAAGAAAAAAUCAUCUACAACUAUACCGAACUUUGUAGCAACUUCCAUUUGUCUUAAGCAGGAACCUCAUAACAACAUGACAAAAUCUACAUUGAACAUGUCAGCUGUCCUCUCCUCUAUAUGCACACAUCCUGCUCUCUUGAAGCCCAGCUGUUUAUCCAAUUUGUCUCUCUCUCUGCCACUCUUUUGGGCCUCGUUACCCUCUCGUCUGGCAGGAAGUGAGCAUGGUUUUGAAAGAUUAUCCAACCUGAUGCUGUUCCUGAGACCCUCCUGCGAUCACAGACAUGACAAGAAUGAAAAAUGGAACUGCGGUUUUU